UGAGGAAUAUUGCACAAUGGGCGAAAGCCUGAUGCAGCAACGCCGCGUGAGGGACGAAGGCCUUCGGGUCGUAAACCUCUUCUCUGGGGAAAGAGACAGGACGGUACCUCAGGAAUAAGUCUCGGCUAACUACGUGCCAGCAGCCGCGGUAAAACGUAGGAGGCGAGCGUUAUCCGGAUUUACUGGGCGUAAAGCGCACGCAGGCGGUUCCGUUAGUCGGACGUGAAAGCUCCUGGCUUAACUGGGAGAGGCCGUUCGAUACUGCGGGACUUGAGGUUGGAAGAGGGGUGUGGAAUUCCCGGUGUAGUGGUGGAAUGCGUAGAUAUCGGGAGGAACACCUGUGGCGAAAGCGGCACCCUGGUCCACACCUGACGUUGAGGUGCGAAAGCGUGGGUAGCAAACAG
rnacentral:rRNA from 1 species